rnacentral:rRNA from 1 species
AUUGAACGCUGGCGGCAGGCCUAACACAUGCAAGUCGAGCGGAGCGGCGGACGGGUGAGUAAUGCCUAGGAAUCUGCCUGGUAGUGGGGGAUAACGUCCGGGAACGGGCGCUAAUACCGCAUACUAUCAGAUGAGCCUAGGUCGGAUUCGCUAUUUGGUGGGGUAAAGGCCCACCAAGGCGACGAUCCGUAACUGGUCUGAGAGGAUGAUCAGUCACACUGGAACUGAGACACGGUCCAGACUCCUACGGAGGGCAGCAGUUGGGAAUAUUGGACAAUGGGCGAAAGCCUGAUCCAGCCAUGCCGCGUGUGUGAAGAAGGUCUUCGGAUUGUAAAGCACUUUAAGUUGGGAGGCGUUCCCAACAGGAUAAGCACCGGCUAACUUCGUGCCAGCCGCCGCGGUAAUUC